AAACACUAUUUGGGCUUAUUGGCUUUUGGAACACUUUUUCUGCCCCUUUGAAUCCAUUGGAAAAUGUGCCUCUUCCCCUCCCCCCUUUUUCCUAUCCUAUUGUUCUCCAGCAGGGCAUUGUCCCAGGGACACUGCCAGACCAGUUUAAACUGGCUGCUUUGUCCCUUCUCAAUCUCCCAUCAGCCCUUGCUAUUUUCUGACCUCACCCUUCCUUGUACUAUAGGGCACUUUUAACAUUGUACCUAUUGAGCGCUCAGAUCCAAGCUAUCUGGGGAUAUGUUGGACAUAUAGGUUAAACAUUGUAUUAUAAGAGUUAUGUAUUUUUAUGUGGUUUUUGUAACAGUUUUUGAUUUAGAGAUAUUUCCCGUACCUGGAGAUAAUGAAGUUACCACAGCCACUUAAGCCAAUUAUCUCCAGGAUAGAAGAGAAGAAAGACUGG